UUGAUGGCGACCGGCGCACGGGUGAGUAACACGUAUCCAACCUGCCGAUGACUCGGGGAUAGCCUUUCGAAAGAAAGAUUAAUACCCGAUGGCAUAGUUCUUCCGCAUGGUGGAACUAUUAGAGAAUUUCGGUCAUCGAUGGGGAUGCGUUCCAUUAGGUUGUUGGCGGGGUAACGGCCCACCAAGCCUUCGAUGGAUAGGGGUUCUGAGAGGAAGGUCCCCCACAUUGGAACUGAGACACGGUCCAAACUCCUACGGGAGGCAGCAUG
rnacentral:rRNA from 1 species